rfam:Rickettsia bellii RML369-C, complete genome.
UAGCUCAGUUGGUUAGAGCGUCUGCCUGUCACGCAGAAGGUUGCGGGUUCGAGUCCCGU